ACCCUAGAUCUGGUUCUUCGUUCUCCUUCUCUUAAACUCUGUCGCUCCAUAACCCUAACUCUCAAUUCGCCAUGGAGGAUGCCUAUCUGACCCGUGUAUGUUGACCCGCUAUAUUUUGACUCAUCUACGUUAUUUUCCAAAACCCUAGACAGCCUUCCUUUCCAUUCUGCUUCAUCUCCAUUCUGGUUCACGCAUAUGCAUUCGAACGAUUCAAGCAUCAGUUACUAUGGAGAAAUCAGAGUCGGUGGUAGCCAAAACAAGAGAGGGACGUAGAUUUUGACUGGUUGGAAGAUAGAGAAAAGAAGUGGGUGAUGGUGGAUUCAAGCGAUUCUGUAUUUGUUGAUAUGGAAACGAUUUAUCUUGGUGGAAAGUGGAGUGUUUGUAACUAUUAUGAAGAUUUUUUAUGAUUCCAACAAGAUGGUCAACAUAAAAUACAUGACAUUAACAACACCAGUCAACUUAAACAAGUUCUUGGAAGCCAUCAAGAUACAUGUAUUUGUUGCAUCUGAAUAUCCUUUCAUCCUCACUCUUGAAGAUCACCUGACUCCUGAUUUUUGGUUUCUUUGCAAGGUUAUUCAUGCAGUUUACAUGGUUUUUGCUAUAGAUAUGGAGUAAGGACUAAAGCCGGUAAGAAACAAUCAUCAGAAGAUGAAGAUGCUGGUGUCAAAAUAGCACAUUCUGCAGGAGCUUCAAUUCGACGACACAAUGAACUUGCCUUAAAUAAGUGGGACAGGUAAAAGAGCUAUAUGAUGAAAUAUGACUUCGUUCACCUCACUGAGCGGUGGAUGCAGUUAGACUAUGAUUUGUAACGCAAGUGUGUGGAGGUGACUUCACUGAGCGGUGGAUGCGGUAGUAUUGUACAUGAACGAACUUCAUGAGAAGAAGGAUGAGAAGGUUCAACCAGUCAAAAAGAAGAAAUCAUGGACUCAAACUUUCUUUUCAAUGUCUAACAAACGCAAGCGGAUCACCAUGACUAACUGAACACGUAACUUGCACGAGUGUCAAACCGUCAAUGAGUUUUUAUAUGUAGGCAGGAAAAUGGAAGGAAGGAGAUGCUGAGCUGUCAUGGGCUGGAACUAUGAACAAACCUAAGUUCUUCAAUUCUGUGAAAUCAGUACAUUACAAGGGGCUUUCGAUUGCAGAUGAAGGAAGGUAGAGGUGGGAGGACAGCGCGAUGACAUGGUUAAAAACAAAGGAUUCUUGCCUUUUGGUCCUUCAAAAAUUCCUGUUCAGAGGAGUCAGAUGAAUGACAUUAUUUUUUCGUUACUUGCAGCAUGCAAAGAACCAGAUGUUGAUACUGGAAUCCCGUUUAAAGCUGAUGCAAUGAUAGCCAAUCCCCCAGCAUAUAUGGCCUACAAGCGAAUUUCCUCAUCCUCUAUCUCGUGUCAAGCAACCGGCUGGUUAUAGACCGUCAUAUCAAAUAGUUGACUCUUUGAUUUGGCUUGGAAUUCGGGACAUGAUAAAUGAUUUUAGGAAGAAAAAGUUAAAGUUGCGGCCUGUCGCCUGUCACAUAUUUAAGUGGCUCUCAAGCCGAAAGAUAUGCAAUGAUAAAGAUCAAGCAAAUUCAUGGUUUCGUGGCUUAAAACUGUACUUUACUCGCUUUGUUUUUUUUUUUUUUAAAUUAAGGAAUUUUGGCUUGAGUUGUAGUCAUAUAAGUUUAAUAAAUUUUGGCCUUAUUAAGUUUUUAAACUAUAAUUUGUUUAACCAAGUGAUAUUAAGCCGAUAAUAAUUGAUUUUGUUAUGUUUCA